rnacentral:siRNA from 1 species
ACUGCUCAUACACCACCAUGGAUG